rnacentral:rRNA from 1 species
GGGGGAAAGCGGGGGAUCGUAAGACCUCGCGCUUUCGGAGUGGCCGAUAUCGGAUUAGCUAGUAGGUGAGGUAAAGGCUCACCUAGGCGACGAUCCGUAGCUGGUCUGAGAGGACGACCAGCCACACUGGAACUGAGACACGGUCCAGACUCCUACGGGAGGCAGCAGUGGGGAAUUUUGGACAAUGGGGGAAACCCUGAUCCAGCCAUACCGCGUGAGUGAAGAAGGCCUUCGGGUUGUAAAGCUCUUUCAGCCGGAAAGAAAGCGCAUGGGUUAACAGCCUGUGUGGAUGACGGUACCGGAAGAAGAAGCACCGGCUAACUACGUGCCAGCAGCCGCGGUAAUACGUAGGGUGCGAGCGUUAAUCGGAAUUACUGGGCGUAAAGCGUGCGCAGGCGGUUUUGUAAGACAGGCGUGAAAUCCCCGGGCUUAACCUGGGAACUGCGCUUGUGACUGCAAGACUGGAGUGUGGCAGAGGGGGGUAGAAUUCCACGUGUAGCAGUGAAAUGCGUAGAGAUGUGGAGGAAUACCGAUGGCGAAGGCAGCCCCCUGGGCUAACACUGACGCUCAUGCACGAAAGCGUGGGGAGCAAACAGGAUUAGAUACCCUGGUAGUCCACGCCCUAAACGAUGUCAACUAGGUGUUGGGGAAGGAGACUUCUUUAGUACCGCAGCUAACGCGUGAAGU